AAUGUUGGCCUGUAACCAAUGAAUCUCGCCAUGUAGGUGCAUUUUCCUCUGGGGAAGGUAAAACACACCUUGUGAAGUAAGGACGUGACCAAAUGAUGGCUUUUGGGGGACCUGACUAGUGAAUCAGUUGGGAAUAUGAGAGCCACCACCCCUCUCCUUUAUAUCUCUUCUCAUCCCCACAGCCCUGUGCUAGGUACAGAUUAUGGACACGAAAGGUCCUUGACCUCAAGGAGCUCACAAUUGAAACCACGCACCAGUGGAGGAGUCUGGACGUGCCAGGAUUUCAGUCUGCAAUGUGAGUGGGUGUGUGGUUAAGAUAAAUCCUGUGAUGUGGUGGAGCUUUUUCAUUAGCUUCGGAGCUUGUAUUUUUCCUCCCUCAAGAGACGCCCAGAUCCCUGACUGAAAAGAAGACAGCUUCCUGGAGGGCUGGGAAGGACAGAGCUAUCCUGUUGGGACCUGCCCUAUCAGCGGUGACACACGGCCCCCCCCCACCCCCCCUCGUGUGUCCCAUCU